AAUACGGAAGCAAGUACUAGGUCUGCUCAGAACAGAAAAGCGAAGCAACUUGGACUGAAGAGCAUCAACAAUGAAGAUAACACCAAAUUUAAUAUAUCCAAUGUUCAGAAUUGAAAAGCCAGAGACAAAAGCAGUGACACAGAUCCACCACUUAUCUGCAAGAUCGCGCACAAGCCACAACCUCCUGCUGUUACCAUCACUACCGGCCUUCCACCGCCGGUCCAGGCGAGCAGGGCGGGGGGUAGCAGAACGGGCACUUGGCCUCGCACUCGCUGUGCGUGAAGUAGCAUCGCGGCGCCGGCCGCUCCAGCGCGCAGCAAAAGCAGGGCUCGCCCACCACGCCCCGCAGCCCUUUGUCGACGCACAUCACCAGCUUGAUCUUGCUCUCGUCGUCGUCGGCCGGCGAGGUCGAGUUGGCCGGCCGGCUCCUCGAACUAGGGCAUGGGAAGCAUGGAGACACAUGAGGAAAAAUGAAGGUUUUAUAUGACUUGUUACCUUGUAUGCACGGAGCGAGGCAUCCAAACAGCAAAAAUAGCAAGGUGGUCGUCAUCACACACACUCUACCACCACCAUAGCUACUCUUCAUACUGGAUCCUUUUGCCUAUAUAUCUAGUUCUACGAACGUCUGAACUGUGUGAGAGUCAGAUUAGACCAUAUGGAAUGGCUUGGGAUCUUGAUAUAUAUAGGCACUCAGCAAAAGACAGAAAAAAUCCAACUAAACUGGUGGUGAGAUAUGCGGACGAACACUUGGAGAUCGGCAUCGGACAAAUGCAGAGAACAUGAAAGACACACGUCAGUUAUUUGUAGAUAUUGCAGUAUAUAUAUGAUCAAUCUCAAAGAUAUGUUAUAUAAUUGGUAGAAAAAUAUACUAGAUAUUUUAUAUAAUAUGUAGAAUGAUAUAUUGAUGUGCUGUAAAUACAUUAGUAAUUGUUUGGGAGAUUGCACGGUUGUACAAUGUUUAUUAGCAGCUAUCCAGAGAGUGCUGUUAGUUGGCCUUGUUUCACAAA